UGCCUCAACCUCCCAAAGUGCUGGGAUUACAGGUGUGAGCCAGAGUACUCGGCCAAAAAAAUAAUUUUUCAGUCAACUAGUUAACCAAAAAUCACCCCCAUACUCAUGUACAUUUUUUCAUGAAUUUGUUCAUUUCUAUUGGUAUACAUUUCCUCAUUUCAGUAGAUAAUGUGUAUUUGAACUUUUAAACUUAUCUUCAUGGCAGAAAGUGGUCAAAGUCACGUCUCUCAGCUUCACUGGUGUAGGUAGAGCAGGCUGUGUGAGCUUGGCCUGUUUGAAUGAAGCUUGAUUUUUAGGGAAUCUCCCCAGUGAGAGUCACACAGGAGAUGCUGAAGCCCCUGAUGACAGGGCCCCAAAAGGGUGUGUAGAAGUCGUUCCAGAAGAAGACUUACAAAGAGGAAAUCAUGACUAUUUUUAAUUGUAGCAUUUUAAUAUUGACAUUUUAAAUGAUCUCUAUGAAAAAGAAUGUGUGAUUAAUAGAAUAGAGUAAUUUGGGAAAAAUUGAGUCUAUUUCACCCCAAAAAUAGGCUUUUAAUCAAGUAAUAAAUCCUUUAAAACAGAUGCUAAAUGUAGUAUCAGCAUGAUUAGAUUCUAGUGUACUGACACGGUCUUGAAUACACUAAGAAACGGCUGUUUGUUUAGAAGAGUUUCAAAACAUUUGGGAGGCAGGAAGGCACUCUUCCAUUGACCCUCAGUGUGCAUUUCAGUUCCAUUUUGAGUUGAUUGUUUUGUGUUGCUGCCCGAUGCCUCUAGUACGAAGCCAAGGUCUCCAUAUCUCAUGCCUUUCCAGCUCCCCUCCUCUGCCAUCCAUCUUCCACUCAGGGGAAUAGCCCAGUAUCAACUCAGUCCAUUCUUGUAUAUCAACCACCUCCAUACACCACAUCCAGCAAAGCUCCCUGAGUGACUCACAGUCACCAACCACCGGUGCACUGAUCUUUCCUCUGUGUCCUUCCAGCUCGUCCUGAGAAUGGCCUGUUUUUAAGAUACUCACCACAAUGCAAAGAUGAAGAUGAUGAUGAUGAUGAUGGUGAUGUUGAUUGUGAUGAUGAUGAUGAUGAUGAUGAUGAUGUCCAGGUAAGAUCCCCCUGUUUGUCUUCUACAUCAAUGUUGCUUUCCUGAUUCUUUACGUCUCAAUUAAUUUUGAUUUGAAAACCUGGCAAUGUACAUUAUGUACACUGUACACUAUUGUCUUUGUGGGGCUGGAAUUCAGUGAGCGUGUCUUCCCAACUGAUACAUGCUAUGCUGCUUUUAAAUGACAGUAUCCAAUAUCAAUUGGAAUACUGAGGCAUUUUCCACAAUACCAGUUUUCCUCCUUGGAUGAAGCAUUGUGCGUUUGCAUAUCAAAUUAAAUUUAAAGAUAAGAGCUUGGAAAGGAAACGGUAUGUACCAUGAAAUAACUCACUUCUCGAGGGAAUAACUUGCUGGCUUCAUUGUAUAGAAACCUGAUUCUUGAUUCCUGCUGGGAAAGAGACUUGGGAUUCUCGUGAAAGUGAUUUUGCCAGUAUAGACCUCUGGCCCAAGAAGCUGUAGGAAGACUUGACGCUGGAGAGUAUUAGUGACGAGGAGACUCAUCCAGAGAUAGGAUUUCACCAUUUUGGCCAAGCUGGUCUGAAACUCCUGACCUCAAGAGGUCCACCCAACUCGGUCUCUGAAACUGCUGGAAGUACUGGUGUGAGCCACAGCACAUGGCCUCAUUGCAUCUUCUAGGCAUUCUUUGAAAAAGAAUGUGUUGACUGCAGGACUGGGCAGAGGACCUGAAGACAUGAGGUUGAUGCACAGGUCAAAGAGAAGAUUCUCACCAUCGCUGAUGCACACAAAAGUUGUGGACUGCAGUCCCUGCCCAUGGAGGUGCGCUGCAGACAGAUGCAGCAGCAGAGGCCUGGCUUCCUGAGGAAUUGCUGCCAGUUUGAGGAAGGAAGAAAGUCCCACCUACAAUGACCACCCGCCAGCCUGGAGGAAGCUCCAUGCCAGCAGCAUUGACCAGCGUGGGAGCCAGAUCCCUGCUAAUGCUGCAGCUCAUCAUCCCCGCUCAGAAGCCCAGCAGCCAUUGCCACAUCCCAUUUCCAGGACCUCCUGUCCCCGUGCCCCCACGCGCCCAUGGACCCACACACCUUUCCUCCUGUUUGCCCAAAGUAGGCAUGGAGGGAAUUUUUCAAGUGCACUUUUUGUAGGUAAGUCAAAACAUUACAAAAUAACCACUGCACACCAGGUCCAAUGCCCUUCCAAACUCACUCUUUUCUCAGACCCUUAAACACUUGUGCCGCAUCUCCCAGACUCCACUGUACCUUGAUCAGCAGGUCCCUCUUCACUGCAGUGUCCUUUUUGCAGAGUUCUUUUAGAUAUUUUGUGCUCUUGCUAUUGACAGAGGAAAGAAAAAAGGGUAAAUUUGGGAAUCACGGGGGAGAUUUGUGAGUUCCAAUCCCUUUUGUUUGAAAACUCAAUGAAUCUCGGCUUCCUGCGUGAGAGUUUCCAGUGGGGUCGUCUGAUGACAAGGGCUCCAGAGGACCAGGGUGUGACUGUCAUGCUCCUCCCCUGGCCCAUCUCCACUUCACAUGAGCCCCUGCGUGUUCACAGUUAGCUUCCAGCUGGACACAGUUCCACUGCUGGGUACAAACACCUGAAAGCCUCCAAUUGGCUCCAGUCUGUUCCUGAUGGUUAAAAAACCUUCCUCCUGAGUUAGAAAUCCUUGCCUAGGAGUCCAGGGCAGCUUAGUGAGCACACCCACCAGCCCAUCCCUACCUCCACCGUCCCUGUUCUCCAAGAAGCUUUCAGAGUCGUUGAGGGCACAUGGGGAGACCUAUGGGUCCCUAGGUCAACUCUGGUGCUCCCGUGGAGGGAGCUCCUCACCUGGACACUCCUGCCCAUGUCUUGUGUAGCCGAUGUAUUGGGUUGCUGCGCAGAGCAGAGACGAUGGCGUGCACUGAGGAGAAGUUGUUGAGGCGUAGGCACUCCUGGAGAGGGAAGAGUGAGCUGUGAGGUCCAGAGUUGGAGUCCGACCCACUUCAGCCUCAGCCCCCUCUGCUGAGAUCUCCCUUCCUGAAUGAAGCAGAGGCCCAGGGAGCCUCAGGAGGGUACACCUGGGGCUGAGUGAAUGUCACUCAUCUAGGAAGAUUUCAGUUCAACCCAAGGAAGAUCCCAG